rnacentral:rRNA from 1 species
UACGAAGGGGGGCUAGCGUUGCUCGGAAUCACUGGGCGUAAAGCGCACGUAGGCGGAUUGUUAAGUCAGGGGUGAAAUCCUGGAGCUCAACUCCAGAACUGCCUUUGAUACUGGCGAUCUUGAGUCCGGGAGAGGUGAGUGGAACUGCGAGUGUAGAGGUGAAAUUCGUAGAUAUUCGCAAGAACACCAGUGGCGAAGGCGGCCAACUGGUCCGAUACUGACGCUGAGGCGCGAAAGCGUGGGGAGCAAACAGG